ACACUGCCCCAAAUUCACACAGCAUGGAGUGGGCUUGGAGGCUUCUUUUCCUGCUGGCAGCUGCCCAAAGUGUCCAAACUGAGAUCCAGCUGGUGCAGUCAGGACCUGAGCUGAAGCAGCCUGGACAGUCAGUGAAGAUCUCCUGCAAGGCGUCAGGGUAUACCUUCACAGAUUAUGGAAUGAACUGGGUGAAACAGGCUCCAGGACAGGGUCUGAAGUGGAUGGGCUGGAUCAAUACCAACACUGGGAAUCCAACAUAUGCUGACGACUUCAAAGGACGGUUUGUCUUCUCUUUGGACACCUCUAUCAGCACUGCCUAUCUGCAGAUCAGCAGCCUCAAGAAUGAUGAUACAGCCAUGUAUUACUGUGCGAGACACAGUGUGAAAAACCACAUCCUGAGGGUGUCAGAAACUCUGAGGGAAGGUGGCUCUUCUCUGCCAAGACAGCAACAGAGAAAAUAUGCCCUCCUCCAUGACUAG